rnacentral:lncRNA from 1 species
ACCAGCCCCGGCCUGAGGCCCCGACCCCUCAGCGCCACACGCACAAGCGCGUUCGCACGAUUGGUGCAGGCGGACGCGCGAGGUCCCGCGCCUGCGCACACCCCCGAGGCUGGCACGCACACCGGUCUCCUAGGGGACUGGCGCCUGGCCCUGCUUUUCAUCCUCUCAGGAGAUCACGUGUGGACACUGAGGCCCUUCCUCGAGCUCUUUAACCAAACCCAACCUCCCCAAUUCGCCGCCUUCCCCGCUCCCACAACCACACGUUCCCGUGUGAGGGCUUAUUGCCUCCAGCCAGCCAGCGUCCUUCGCCCCCACAUUCACGAGGUUUGGAGCCGGCCUCACCCGCGGAGGCGGACACCGCCCACCCGCGCGUGCGCACUACGCAGUCAUCCUGCGACCUCCAGAAUCCACCGGGGUGCAGCGAGGCUGUGGAAAGUCCCACCCAGAACGUGAGGUGAAGAAGGCUUGGGCUGCGCUGGUUCUGCUCUGUCCGGGUCGGAGAUGAACUGACCCGGGAGAGCAGCGGAGGGAUGUUUCUUUUGGCCAACAGUGGGGACUCACCUGCACGUUUUGCGAAGAGGCCCACAGUCCUUUGCGUGGCGCUCGGACUACAUUUCCCAACGGCCCCUGCACGCCCUGGGGGCUGUUCCAUGCGGUGUUGCGCCUGCGUAGCCGGCGGGCUGGCAGUGAGACUGACUGCGUCGGGGUUGAGACUGGGUGGAUGAGGCUCACCCCGGCGGGGAGAAGGGACGAGGAGGGGCGGACAGCGGAAGGUCCGGGAGUGUCCGCCAUAAAGUCGUUUGAGGUGACCGUUGCGUAAUUGUGAGUCUGUGAGAGAAGAUGUGAAGUAUGGCCUCGUCCCGGUCAUCUGGGCGUGCGGGUCCCGGGUUUUGAUCGCGCGUUUGUGUAGUUUUAACUUCUAGUCAUGGCGAAUGAUCGCAGGAGAGCACAGACUGGACCCUGCUACGAUCUCUCUUGGAGUGGAUCAGACUGAUGAUCACCAACAACCAACUCAUUCCCGGAUAAGGAAGAAGAGAGUGUCACCUACUUCAGUGUGGUUUCAACCCUACUUCUGCAUCUUAAAGACACUUGUACAACGUUGGACACUGUGCAGGAUGAUGCCACUUCAUCUUGGAUGCUAAUCUGCCAUGUUGACUUCUGAUUAACCCCAGGCCCAGGAAUGCCUCAAGAUUUCUACUUUACUUACUGUUGCUUGUGUAAGCCAAGACAACCUUGAUGUUAUCAUAAACAUGUACUUACCUAAGUCCUGUCCUUUGGCAAAUUAUGGGCUAUGAGACACAGCAUUCUUGCCUUUCCCUGAGGGGUCAAUUUCAGCGAUCCUACACAUUCCUUCUGAAGCACUUAUGCUCUUUCUAUAUGGUAUGUAAGCUCUCGGUCUGGGGAGUAACAGUGCAGAGAUCUACCUGUCUUGUUGCCACAUGUUUCUAAACUUUCCAAUAAAUCACCUUCUACUGACAAACUGG